UCCGAGGGGGGCAAAUGUUGUUCGGAAUCACUGGGCGUAAAGGGAGCGUAGGCGGGCUUCUAAGUUAGAUGUUUAAUCCCGGGGCCCAACCCCGGACAGGCACCUAAAACUGGAAGUCUUGAAUAGUGGAGAGGACGGCGGAAUUGGGGGUGUAGCGGUGGAAUGCGUAGAGAUCCCCAAGAACACCAGUUGCGAAGGCGGCCGUCUGGACACAUAUUGACGCUGAGGCUCGAAAGCAUGGGGAGCAAACAGG
rnacentral:rRNA from 1 species